rnacentral:lncRNA from 1 species
CCUAGGUUUAGUGUAAUCAACAAGAGUUAUAUUUGGUGUGAUCACAAAUAGGAUGGUGUAUUCUAGUACAUUCAUUUUGGAAACUGUAACAGUAACCAAGUAUUAUUCCAAAGGAGAUAUUUGCUCUCCUGAAUUCACGAAGAGCUCCUACAGGUUAUAAGAAAAAGGGAAAGCAUGAUUUAUAAAAAAGAUUAAUAGACUCAAAAUUCAUUUGUCACUUCCAACCUAGCAUUUCCAUCCUUGAGCAUGUGUCCUAGACUGUAGCACCUAUGUCUAUUUAGACUUGCAGCCAGUACAGGACAGGGUAUCCUGUAAAAUAGCAUACUGCAAAGUAUUGCUUAGGAUUCCAUGAAAGAAAACUAUUAAAUAAGGGAAUGGUGCUUAGCAAAAGUCUAAACAUCUGUAGGGGAGACACACACACUGCCACCUGUGAGAAGGACCUUUGAGAUAUGACUCUUGUUUCUUAAUUGCUUGCUUAACCUGGUCUUUGUUGCAGUAAUUGUAUUUCACAUAUGUUUUAUAU